rnacentral:lncRNA from 1 species
GUUGCUGAAGAGAAUGGUGCAAGGGAUGGACAAAAAGUAAUUUGAGCUGUCUGUUUUAUUUGAGAAACAAUUGAACAAGGUGUAGUCACUUAGGUCGUUGGAAGGUGUAUAUUAUCUUUCUCUUUUGUUGUUGUUUGGUUUGGAGGAAAAUAACUUUCUUGCCAAAAAUAUUAUAAUAUUUGCCUACGCACAAAGGAGAAUGUUUUUGAUAUUGAAACUCUUAUAAAGAAAAAAAAAAAAAGGGAAAGUGUAAAGUAUUUGAAACUAACAUAUUUGUUUAUGGGAUAUAUUCAUAUUGCAACAUAUAAUAUAUAAUUGAAAAUGUUAUAAUUAAAAUUGGAGAAUUAAUAAUACAUAUUAUAUGAAUCUUAAUUUCGUUCUCUUAGAUCCUUUCUAUCCUAAGAUUCCCAAGUUUUCAUUUUUUUUUUGUUUUAACUACUUAGAAUAAUUUUGAAUUCAAAAAAUUGAUCUAAUUAAUUACAAAUUAAUUCAAAAAAUUGUAUAAUAUUAUGUUUCUAAUUAAGUGCUAAAUGUGUACAGGAAAUAAAAAACUCCACUAAUUUAGAUAUUUAAAAAGUUGAAUUUUAUUCACUAUUCAGUUUCAAGUUCUUUGCCAACAUUGCUCUUCAGUCUGCAUUUCUUACCUUCUUUUUCGCAGCUUCCACAUAUCAAUUCUGACCAUGUUAAGGAAAAAUAAUUUUCCCCAUUAACUAUACCAUCUGGGAGCCUAACGUUGUAAAUCUUGUGGCAAGAGGAUAGGUCCAAGCGGUCAAGAUUAUAGUAAGAACCAACAUCAUAGACUGGGUUGCUGAAGAGAAUGGUGCAAGGGAUGGACAAAAAGUAAUUUGAGCUGUCUGUUUUAUUUGAGAAACAAUUGAACAAGGUGUAGUCACUUAGGUCGCUGGAAGGUGUAUAUUAUCUUUCUCUUUUGGUGUUGUUUGGUUUGGAGGAAAAUUAUUUUCUUGCCAAAAAUAUUAUAAUAUUUGCCUACGCACAAGGGAGAAUGUUU